UCUUAGCUUAGUUGGUAGAGCACCCGCUUAGUAAGCGGGAGGUCGUCGGUUCGACUCCGGCAGAA
rnacentral:tRNA from 1 species